rnacentral:sRNA from 1 species
GUAUCUGAAGCCUGACGAGGAUGAGAACCUCCGGGGGCAAGAGGUUCGACCCGAGCGAAGCGAGAGAACGUUGCGCCAGCACCGGCCCGCAGUGGCAAGUCAUCCUCUGUCACCGGCAG